UUGCACAAGAAUAUUCCAACGGUAUAUUACCAACAGUUGGCUUAUCUGCCUCAUUAUUUCAUUUUCCAAAAAGAAAAUGAGAAACAAAAGGGUAUAAUUCAGACGCCAACCUAAGCAUCUUUAUUUAUACUCUUUCAUUCAUUUUCUGUUACCCUUUUCUUAGUUGUAUACUUUCUCUAUUGAAAAAACCAUGUGUUGAUGCAUAUCUCUCUGCUAAUUAAAGUUUUCAUCUUCUACAAAGAACAAGGUAAAGCAAGAAAGCCAAGUAUCUUUCUUUCUCCGUCUCUGUGUGUUGUUAGUUACUUUUCCACUAUUUUAUUAGUAGCUAUUACCUCUUAUCAGUAUAGCUAUAAUUACUUCUUUCUCUAUAUUUUUUUCUAGUUGUUUAUCCCAUUUCAAAAAUUAAGUUCCAUUUUUUCCCUAGUUGUAUGUUGUGGUUGUUUGUUCCUUCUACUCUGAUUCUACUACUUGUGAGAUUGUUAUUUACUGCAUAUUAAAUAGAAGUGGAGGUUUUGAAGGGAUUGAGAACCAUGCUUAGAGAAUAGAGAGAAAUAAAGAUAAGUUAAAAUGAUUGCUUUUUGUUUUACCAUUAAUUACUGCACUUGAUGUUGUUAUUUGGCUGAAAAUCUCCGCUUAUGGGAGAAAACAUGUUGUCUCACACAGUAUAUGAGUAAUGAAUUCAUGUUAACGUUUCAUUUUGGUGUUGAGGUAGUCGAUUUUAGGAAUCAAUUAUUGGUUAAUUAAUUGCCUAUAAUAUAUGUUAUGGGGUUUUCUGAGCUUUAAAUUAAGGGUCCAUGCAAAUUUUCUGUCAACCUUUGAAGCCUUGAGUAUAUAUAUAAGAUGUAGUUUUCUGAUCUACCAAUAUAUAAACUUAUAAGUUUGGCGAUAAGCGUAUAUAAAAGAGAGUGUGUGUGUGGCUUAAUAAUAAUAAGAAUAAUAAUAAUCAUUCUCUUUCUACUUAGCAGCUGGAUUAAUGAAUAACAAGUGGGAUUUAUUACUCGAUGGCAAGGACUAUAAAGCCUGUAGUAGGGUGUUUCCCAGGAGUGAUCAAAGGGAAGAGAGGACAAUUUGAAGCAUUUCAGGUUAGCUUAUUUCCUUGUUUUCUUGUUUUUUUUUACCUGGUCAUGGUUCCUUUUCUGAAGAUUGUUGUUGGGUAAUUCAAAUUUAUUGAAAUUGGCCUAUGAAUUACGUAGACAUGCCAGUUUUUCGGUGGUUAAGUUUGCUGAGACAUGGAGCAAGAACCCUAUCUGAUUAGCUGUAACUAGAAAAUGAAAAUGACAUCCUUUAAUCGUUUUUACUCUCUUUGUAAUACAAUAACAACAACAAAACAACCAGUGUAAUCCCACAAGUGAGAUCUGGAGAGGGUAGUAUGUACGUAGACUUGGAGAGCAUAGUGUGUACGUAGUAGCAGGGGGUACUUCAUUAAAGGGUCGAAAAAUUACACUGCAUAUAUAUACAUAUAUAUACAUAUAUAUACAUAUAUAUAUAUACCGGGUGUCCGAGUCUUUAAGAGCUCCAACUAAUCUCAGGGGUGUACAGGCCCUCGGCAAGGAGUUUCCCGCAAGCGCAAGGAGUUUCCCGCAAGCGCAACAGGGUUAAUUCCGAAGGCCCUUAGAAAUUAUUUGCACCCACUGCGUUUCGAACUUGAGACCUUGAAAGGGAGCAAACCCCAAGGCUCAAGUCAAUUGCCACCAUGCCAACUCCUGAGGGUUACACUGCAUAUAUAGGUAAAAUAUAGGCUUUAUAGGUAUAUAACAUAUAUUGAACACUUUUUGUCGGAGAAUUUUGUUCACCUUUUCCAAGUUUGAACACACUUGAGGAAAUUUCUGGCUUCGGCACUGCGUAGUAUACCUUACCCCCACCUUGAAGGUAGAAAGGCUGUUUCCGAUAGAUUUUUCCUCCUUGUAAUAAUUAUAGAAGUUAAAACAAUCUGGACAGAAAGUAUGUUGCUGUUUAAAAAUUAUGUGGUAUUGCAUACUGAUUGCUGAGAAUCAUUGCCUCGUUGAAGAUUUUGAGACUUGGGUCUUGGAUCUUCACUAACUUUUUGCUUGAAGUCUGCAGUUUCUUGGGUGAUUCAUUGAAAAAGGAUAAUUAUCAUUAAUAAAAGGAAUCAUGAUUUGCAGUUGUCAAUCCAACAAAAUUCAGAAAAUGCUCUAUGCCCUAACCAACUACAAAAUUAAAGGUGGCAAGGGCUGUAAUUCCUUUUGCUGAUCCUUUUGUCAGCACAGUGUAGUUUCGUUUCUUUAUCCUUCCUCCUGUGAUGUGAUUCUUGUAUGUGAGACACUGUACAGUUAAUUCGUCGUCAUCUUGAAACACAGAUUAUGAUUAAUUAAUCCCAUCCUUUUGGUUUCACCGGUUAAGUCACCAGUGGACUGAGUUUGCCACCAUAGCUUCAUGUGAGGGCUGCGCUUACUCUUACUGGUUUUAGACGACUUACACCUCUUCGCAUAAACUCAAAUGCCAACAUAAACAAGCCAAAAAAGAACACCAAGAAUAUCUGGAGCCUUGCUACAAUGUCAACCAUGACAGACACAUUGCUUCCCUCGGGAGAACUUUUUCUUGUAGGUGGGGUUAUACUCCAUCCUGAUACAGACAAUCAACUAUUAGAGUGAUGCAACUUAACCAAUAAGCUUAAAACAAAUAACGGGACUUGUGAUUCAUGGAAGUAUUUUGUGUCGUUCGCGCUCGUUACCAUAUUACAUUGUCAUUACCAUUGUUUGCUACUUGGUUGUUUUAUCCUAUCUCCACUGUUCUUUGCGCCGAGCAUCUAUCGGAAACAACCUCUAUCUUUAUAAGGUAGGGGUAAGGUCUCUCCCCAGACCUCAUUUAUGGGAUUGCACUGGGUCGUUGUCAUUCUUGUUGUUGUUGUUAUUGUUGUUAGUGAUUCAUGGAAGUUUAUACAUCCUACAGAGACAUUUUCCCUCUAUCUCCCCCUAUUCCAAAUAGUCUAGUUCAUUAUGCAGCCUUUUUCUUGGAAGAGUAGGUAAGAAAACAGAUAUAAGUACUUACCGGUGCUUUUCUUGGGCAAAUUUGUCCAGUCAUACGGGCUAAUCUUACUUGAAGAUGCCUUGAUCAACUCAAGAAGUGCGUCAUUGACCUAAAAUUUUUAUAAUCGUCAUAUACUUCCAUUAACAAUUAGCAUACAUAUGACUCCAGCCACACAAAUGCCAAUAGAUUGGACAUAUCUAAAAUUUUGUAUAUGCUGAUAAUCGUCAUAUACUUUCCAUUAACAAUCAGCAUACAUAUGACUAAAGCCACACAAAUGCCAAUAGAUUGGACAUGUCUAAAAUUUUGUAUAUGCUGAUUGACUCAUAAAUAUUGAAGUGCAAUAUAAUAAUUUCAUUUGAUCAUGAUAUCCAUGUGAAUGUUUGAUUCUCCUAUUUAUUUUAUCUUUUUCAAGAACCGACAAGUUGUCUGCUGUCGAAACAUUCAUUGAUGUUCUGCAUGACACCACAGGCCCUAGCUCUGAAAACAAAAAUGAAAAGAGAAAUACCUGCUAGAUCUAAACAGUCUGCAUUGUAUAAAAUACCCUCUCACUUGCUAAAAAACCAAAAGCAAUAAAAAUACUCAGGUACCUGAACACUUGGAAUAAUUAUCAGAUUAUAGUGUCCAGUGUGCUUGAAAGGAUUCUAGUAUGCGUUGACCCAUUUUCAACCCGUUUAAACAUGGGUAGGUAGAGUAAGGUUUUGUUACGGGCGGGUUGGGGGGGGUUAAAGCAAUUUGGGUGAAAUUUGGUAUUUAUGUGGUGUUCACAGAUACAUUGCACAAAUCAUUUAAAGCCACAGGAGAGUACAAAAACUUUGAGAAUCUCAUAGGGUAUUAUGCAUUUCAAAAUGUUCUAUUAGUGACUCCACCAAAAGGUUGAUUUUGGCCUAUUAGUGACUCCGCCCAGUGCCAAGUCAUUGAUUUUUUACAGCGGCCAACUGAUCCUCAGAAUCACUAGAAAAUUGCAGAUCAAUAGUUCUUAGAUGAGACCCAUUCCCCCAGCUCUUUGGAGCAAAUUCACAAUAUAUUAUAUAGAAUCAGAUGCUUUCUUGACCUAUAUCUUAGUAUGCAACUUUUACCUGAUAUGCAGAGCACCUAUGGUUCUGUCACUAUUAGAAUAAUAGAUGCAUAUAAUAAUACCUCUUCUGUCCUUUCAUGACUAACGAGAUGUCCUCCAGGAAGCUCUACCAUUCUAGCAUACGGAUGUAAUUUCUUCGCAAGACUCUUCGCGUGGCUUAAUUGAGCAAUGACGUCGUCCCUACACAGAAGAAAUAUUGAUUUAAAAUCUGGAUAACCUUUCAAAAGAAACGGAUUUACAUCUAAACAAUAUUUCUGGCUGUUUGAGAUUGUAUCUGUAGUGGAUAAUGCCUUCAAAUUACAGAUGAAUAUACCUGCCAUGAAUAACAGAUAUGAGGAACCCAGCAGAGCAGAUAGAUUCAAGAUCAGCCCGCGAUAGCUUAUGAGUCCAGCAAGCAUUUAUCUGCCCAUCAAAUCCACAAUUUGACUGCAUCCCAGAUGCUGCUAUGCCUUUGAAGUAUUCCUGCCACCCAAAAAAAGACCCCAGUGAGCACCUUAGUAUUGUUUCUUGUAGAUUACAAGAUAAAAAGAUGCCCAAAGAAACAUCUAGAACAUAAUGUGCUUAGGUCACUCACUUGAUAUAAUAUUGCUCUUCGGGUUUUAGUUCCCACAUAUUCCUCGAGGUAUUCCUGUAAAGUAAAAAACACAGAUAUGUUAGUUACAAAUCAUUCCCUGGCCAUGAAAAAUGGUAUCUUAUUACAUCUUUAUAUCUAGUCAUGGUCAACCAACUCAAUCAGCAAUCUUAUAAAAAAUAAUGCACAUGAAACCGUGUUUAGACAUGGCAUGUUCAUGCAUCUUUUGAGAAGGAAGGAAGUGAAGCCUCUUAUUUGUCAACACUAUUAAAUGAACAAUUAAUCAACCUUUGAGUAGUGGGUGUCUAAAUCAACAGCAGCCCUCUGCUCAGGAGUUUUUGCCUUCAAAAAGCGGACUGCAAUAGAUAGAGUUUGACGAUCGAGCUGCAGCAAAAAAAGACCAUAUGAGCACGAGAAUAAACACAAUAACGCUUUCUUUGAUUCAAGUAUGCAAUGAGCAACAGGCAGAGGAGGCGUUGUGUUUUAAGGUACAACAUGAAUUUAGCUUGCAUCUAUUUAAUGCAAUUAUCAGAAUCAUUAAUUUUACAGGAUCUUACUCAACACAAUAAUUUAUUUUAGUUAUGCAAACAUGGUGACCAUUUCUUUAGUCUUCAGAUCAACUGCUUGACUCUACGAGCAUCCAGAAAAGUUGGUGGGACUAGGAAGUAUAUUGGAUGGCCGUACCACCUACCAAACUACCAAAGCAGCAGGUUGACAUGCAGCAUUUCACUGGAUUAAGGCGUUGAGUAUCUCCUGGGUCCUUCGAGAGCAUGAAGUAGAGGUAGAGUAGGAUUACCUAAUCUACAAAUAUAUACCAUAUUUCUGAUAUUUAUAUAUCUCAUUUGGAAGCAUGAGCAUGCAAGCUCCGACUUUCCUCGCAUGUGGGAUUGCUACUACAAUACUGUAGUUGUAAGCGUUUGCAUCUUGAUAUUUCUACAUCUCAUUAUAAUUAAUUCAAUUGCAGGGGGAAAUCAAGUGAAUAUAUGCUACUGAUUGUUACCAUAAAAACCAGCCCUCCCUCCCGCCN
rnacentral:lncRNA from 1 species